rnacentral:misc_RNA from 1 species
AAUCCUACGACACUGUCCUUUCUUGCUAGUUCUUACAAGGAAAGCGCCUGCGCAACAUGGAAUCUCUCAGUCUCUCUCCUUAGCAGUCCCGCGAAAAUCUUCUCAUUAUAUCCAUCUCUCUCUCUCUUUCUUUCCCUCUCUCAAAUCUGCUUCUAGGGUUUAGCAGUCACUAUCUUUGUUCCUAUUGUCCAAUUUUGUUUGGUCUGGUUUAUUAUACAGAGCAGAAUCGAGAAAUGAAGCAGAAGAGCGAGCAACUUCGCACUUCCAGGCUAAUUACCUACGUUCUAAUCGCACUCAUUGCCCUGCUCGGGCUGAUUUGUUUCUAUAAUGCAUCCUCCGUCGCUCCCGGACUCUCCAGAUCCAAUCGCUACUCUUUUAGCCAUGACGGCACCGACCCGGUUCUCGGCGGGUUUUCCGGAACCCGUGAUAUUGAUGACUUGUUUCAGGAGCAAGGCCCUCAAAGCAUUCCUAUAUGUGACUUAAAUUACUCGGAGUUGAUUCCUUGUUUGGAUAGAAGCCUUGUCUACCAAUUGAAAUUGAAGCCUAAUUUGACAUUGAUGGAGCACUAUGAACGGCAUUGUCCUCCUCCUGACCGCCGUUAUAAUUGUCUUAUUCCUCCCCCUAUUGGCUACAAGAUUCCUAUAAGAUGGCCCGAGAGUAGAGAUGAAGUGUGGAAGGUUAAUAUACCCCACACGCACCUUGCGCAAGAGAAGUCUGAUCAGAACUGGAUGGUGGUCAAUGGGGAGAAGAUAAAUUUUCCUGGUGGAGGAACCCAUUUCCACUAUGGGGCUGAUAAAUACAUUGUUGCUCUUGCCCGGGUAAACCGAUGUUAAUUUAUUGAUAUUACUUUUUAUUUGCUGAUUGAAAGAGAGAAAUGGAAUUGAUUUGAACAUGGGAAUUUGAAAUUAAAAAUGCCCCUUGACAAUUGACAAGCUAAAAGGUUGCAAUAGGAUUUAUGUUUUAUUUUCCAGUUCAAAGUGGUUUAUGUCUUACUUUUUUUCUUAUCAUUUUUUAAGCUCAUAUGUGAAUUAAAUAUUGUAUUUCAAUCUGCAUUGUUUAUUUUUUCACUCUUACCAAGGUUAUUCUUUAAAUUAUUUUUCAUAGAUGCUUAAAUUCCCAAAUGAUAAACUUCACAAUGGUGGGAAUGUCCGGAAUGUUCUUGAUGUUGGUUGUGGGGUUGCAAGCUUUGGAGCCUAUCUUCUUGCCCAUGACAUUAUAGCUAUGUCCAUUGCGCCUAAUGAUGUCCAUGAAAAUCAAAUACAAUUUGCUCUAGAGAGAGGGAUUCCAUCAACUCUUGGUGUCUUGGGAACGAAAAGACUUCCUUUUCCAAGCAGAUCAUUUGAACUGGCUCAUUGUUCAAGAUGUCGGAUUAACUGGCUCCAAAGAGACGGAAUUCUUUUAUUAGAACUUGACAGAUUACUGAGACCAGGAGGAUAUUUUGCAUACUCUUCUCCUGAAGCCUAUGCGCAUGAUCCAGAAAAUCGAAGGAUCUGGAAUGCUAUGCAUGAUCUUUUGAAAAGAAUGUGUUGGAGAGUGGUUGUGAGGAAAGACCAGACUGUUAUCUGGGCAAAGCCCACAAGUAAUAGCUGUUUCUUGAAAAGAGAACCUGGAACUCAACCCCCUUUGUGCAGUAUUGAUGAUGACCCAGAUGCAAGUUGGAAUGUACACAUGAAGGCAUGCAUCUCCCCGUACUCAUCAAAGAUGCACAAGGGAAGAGGAAGCGGACUAGUUCCUUGGCCACAGAGGCUUACUGAGGCACCUCCUCGUUUGGAAGAAAUUGGUGUCAGUGCUGAAGAAUUCCAUGAAGACACUGUAUGUUGUUAUAUUUUUAGCACUGCAGAAAAUAAUUAUGUAUAUUCAGUUCUAUCAUGCUCACCAUCUUCUUUUUAGUAUUUUCCUAUAUUAUCUGACAGAUUUAAGCCACUAAAAGAGUAAUGUGGUGCAGAGGAUAUGGCAAUUUAGAGUGAGUGAGUACUGGAAGCAGAUGAAAUCUAUCGUAAGGAAGAAUUACUUCAGAAAUGUCAUGGAUAUGAACUCAAACCUUGGGGGUUUUGGUGCUGCUCUCAAAGAUACAGAUGUAUGGGUGAUGAAUGUGUCUCCUGUCAACCAGUCUUCUAGAUUGAAGAUCAUUUAUGACCGUGGCUUAAUUGGAACUGUUCAUGAUUGGUGUGAAGCAUUUUCUACAUAUCCACGCACUUAUGAUCUUCUUCAUGCCUGGCAAAUAUUUACCAAGAUUGAGGAGUAUGAUUGUGGUUUAGAGGAUCUACUAAUUGAAAUGGACCGGAUACUAAGGCCUGAAGGGUUUGUCAUCAUAAGGGACAAACCCUCAAUUAUAAACUAUAUCCGCAAAUUUGUGACUGCCUUAAGGUGGGAUCACUGGAUAUCAGAAGUUGAACCAAGGAGUGAUACUCUCUCCUCAGGUGAAGAACAAGUUUUGAUUGUGAGAAAAAAGUUUUGGAGUGGGGAAGUUUCAACAAUGUGAAUAUGGCUCCGAGGUAUAUAUCCCUAUCUUAUUUCUCUUGUUAACAGACGCUUACUUCUUUUAACGCUAGUGUAGUUUUUUCUAUUUCACUUACAUUUAUUACAUUGGUUGAAACAACCUAAAGAAAAAACAUGAUAAGAGCAUAGUCUGAUUAGUAAUUUUUCAUUUUUUAAGCCUUAACAUUGAAUUAGAAGCUUUGGUUUAAACCAGAGCAAAAUUGCUUCCUUUUCUUAGUAGAUGAAGAGAACUACUGUUGAGGUUUAUUUUUCUGAAAGACAAAUUGUUUCUUUGAAGGGGCAGCUUGUUGAACUUUUGGAAUCCUGUGUGUCACAUGAUAGGGAAAGUCAGGACUCGUGCUCCAUUGCCAUAUUGAGAGCAGAUUCUUGUUUGUAAGGUUGAGAGUGAAGUAAGAUUUAUACCAUUGUUCGAUGGAAUGUGCAAAGCACAUACACGAUAUACAGCUUUAAAGGCUGCCUAUCCUGGGGAAAAUGAAGAAAAGAGGAGCUUCCAUUUCAAGUAUUUAUUAGGAGAUGGUUUUCUAUUUAUUGGGAUGUAAUUGUUUACACUAAUGUUAUCUCACAUCUAAUCUUGGAACUUAUGUUGCUUAUUUUUCAAAGAUACUCUGUUCUUGGAUUCUUUAUAUGGCAUUGAAAAGAAAAGAAAAGAAAAGUACCAUGAUCACUGCCAUCAUUUGUUCCAUUAAGGACGCUGAAGGACAUGAUUCACGAGUCAUGCAGGCUUCUUUUUAUUGGCUUUUUUUUUCAAUUGAAAUCUUGAAUCAUGCAGGCUUUGGUUCUUGAACUUUA